UACGUAGGGGGCAAGCGUUAUCCGGAUUUACUGGGUGUAAAGGGAGCGUAGGCGGCGGAGCAAGUCAGAAGUGAAAGCCCGGGGCUCAACCCCGGGACGGCUUUUGAAACUGCCCUGCUUGAUUUCAGGAGAGGAAAGCGGAAUUCCUAGUGUAGCGGUGAAAUGCGUAGAUAUUAGGAGGAACACCAGUGGCGAAGGCGGCUUUCUGGACUGACAAUGACGCUGAGGCUCGAAAGCGUGGGGAGCAA
rnacentral:rRNA from 1 species